UGGGGAAUUUUGGACAAUGGGCGCAAGCCUGAUCCAGCCAUGCCGCGUGCGGGAAGAAGGCCUUCGGGUUGUAAACCGCUUUUGUCAGGGAAGAAAUCCUUUGAGCUAAUACCUCGGGGGGAUGACGGUACCUGAAGAAUAAGCACCGGCUAACUACGUGCCAGCAGCCGCGGUAAUACGUAGGGUGCAAGCGUUAAUCGGAAUUACUGGGCGUAAAGCGUGCGCAGGCGGUUAUGCAAGACAGAUGUGAAAUCCCCGGGCUCAACCUGGGAACUGCAUUUGUGACUGCAUAGCUGGAGUGCGGCAGAGGGGGAUGGAAUUCCGCGUGUAGCAGUGAAAUGCGUAGAUAUGCGGAGGAACACCGAUGGCGAAGGCAAUCCCCUGGGCCUGCACUGACGCUCAUGCACGAAAGCGUGGGGAGCAAACA
rnacentral:rRNA from 1 species